rnacentral:rRNA from 1 species
AGACCCGAAACCCGGUGAUCUAGCCAUGGGCAGGUUGAAGGUUGGGUAACACUAACUGGAGGACCGAACCGACUAAUGUUGAAAAAUUAGCGGAUGACCUGUGGCUGGGGGUGAAAGGCCAAUCAAACCGGGAGAUAGCUGGUUCUCCCCGAAAGCUAUUUAGGUAGCGCCUCGUGAAUUCAUCUCCGGGGGUAGAGCACUGUUUCGGCUAGGGGGCCAUCCCGGCUUACCAACCCGAUGCAAACUGCGAAUACCGGAGAAUGUUAUCACGGGAGACACACGGCGGGUGCUAACGUCCGUCGUGAAGAGGGAAACAACCCAGACCGCCAGCUAAGGUCCCAAAGUCAUGGUUAAGUGGGAAACGAUGUGGGAAGGCCCAGACAGCCAGGAUGUUGGCUUAGAAGCAGCCAUCAUUUAAAGAAAGCGUAAUAGCUCACUGGUCGAGUCGGCCUGCGCGGAAGAUGUAACGGGGCUAAACCAUGCACCGAAGCUGCGGCAGCGAACGUAUCACCCAAGACAACUUUACGGAGUUGACGAUUGACGGAGCGAAGCGACGUCAAAGCGUUCAUUAAAGUCGAGUUGGCUUAGGGAUACGUUCGUUGGGUAGGGGAGCGUUCUGUAAGCCUGUGAAGGUGUGUCGUGAGGCAUGCUGGAGGUAUCAGAAGUGCGAAUGCUGACAUAAGUAACGAUAAAGCGGGUGAAAAGCCCGCUCGCCGGAAGACCAAGGGUUCCUGUCCAACGUUAAUCGGGGCAGGGUGAGUCGACCCCUAAGGCGAGGCCGAAAGGCGUAGUCGAUGGGAAACGGGUUAAUAUUCCCGUACUUGGUGUUACUGCGAAGGGGGGACGGAGAAGGCUAUGUUGGCCGGGCGACGGUUGUCCCGGUUUAAGCGUGUAGGUGUGUGUUCCAGGUAAAUCCGGUUCACUUUAACACUGAGGCGUGAUGACGAGGCACUACGGUGCUGAAGCAACAAAUGCCCUGCUUCCAGGAAAAGCCUCUAAGCAUCAGGUAACAUCAAAUCGUACCCCAAACCGACACAGGUGGUCAGGUAGAGAAUACCAAGGCGCUUGAGAGAACUCGGGUGAAGGAACUAGGCAAAAUGGUGCCGUAACUUCGGGAGAAGGCACGCUGACACGUAGGUGAAGUGAUUUACUCACGGAGCUGAAGUCAGUCGAAGAUACCAGCUGGCUGCAACUGUUUAUUAAAAACACAGCACUGUGCAAACACGAAAGUGGACGUAUACGGUGUGACGCCUGCCCGGUGCCGGAAGGUUAAUUGAUGGGGUCAGCGCAAGCGAAGCUCCUGAUCGAAGCCCCGGUAAACGGCGGCCGUAACUAUAACGGUCCUAAGGUAGCGAAAUUCCUUGUCGGGUAAGUUCCGACCUGCACGAAUGGCGUAAUGAUGGCCAGGCUGUCUCCACCCGAGACUCAGUGAAAUUGAACUCGCUGUGAAGAUGCAGUGUACCCGCGGCAAGACGGAAAGACCCCGUGAACCUUUACUAUAGCUUGACACUGAACAUUGAGCCUUGAUGUGUAGGAUAGGUGGGAGGCUUUGAAGUGUGGACGCCAGUCUGCAUGGAGCCGACCUUGAAAUACCACCCUUUAAUGUUUGAUGUUCUAACGUGGACCCGUAAUCCGGGUUGCGGACAGUGUCUGGUGGGUAGUUUGACUGGGGCGGUCUCCUCCUAAAGAGUAACGGAGGAGCACGAAGGUUGGCUAAUCCUGGUCGGACAUCAGGAGGUUAGUGCAAUGGCAUAAGCCAGCUUGACUGCGAGCGUGACGGCGCGAGCAGGUGCGAAAGCAGGUCAUAGUGAUCCGGUGGUUCUGAAUGGAAGGGCCAUCGCUCAACGGAUAAAAGGUACUCCGGGGAUAACAGGCUGAUACCGCCCAAGAGUUCAUAUCGACGGCGGUGUUUGGCACCUCGAUGUCGGCUCAUCACAUCCUGGGGCUGAAGUAGGUCCCAAGGGUAUGGCUGUUCGCCAUUUAAAGUGGUACGCGAGCUGGGUUUAGAACGUCGUGAGACAGUUCGGUCCCUAUCUGCCGUGGGCGCUGGAGAACUGAGGGGGGCUGCUCCUAGUACGAGAGGACCGGAGUGGACGCAUCACUGGUGUUCGGGUUGUCAUGCCAAUGGCACUGCCCGGUAGCUAAAUGCGGAAGAGAUAAGUGCUGAAAGCAUCUAAGCACGAAACUUGCCCCGAGAUGAGUUCUCCCUGAGACUUAGAGUCUCCUGAAGGAACGUUGAAGACGAC